rnacentral:rRNA from 1 species
GGGUGCGAUCAUACCUGCGCUAAUGCGCCGGAUCCCAUUAGAACACCGCAGUUAAGCACGCUUGGAGUAGAGUAGUACUUGGAUGGGUGACCUCUGCAUGGCUCCACGAUGGAUCGA